rnacentral:misc_RNA from 1 species
ACGUUACUGAGCACAAGCACGUUACUGAACCCAAGCACAUAACUGAGCCCAAACACGUAACUGCUCACAUUACUGAGUGUUUGAAGAACCUCGGAGACGAAGGAGGUCCAGGAUGUCAUAUAGACACGGUGCCGCGGGCAACGAACACAACUACACAACGUUAUUAUAACAAUUCCAUGCAAUGAAGAAAUUAAGGGAACCGCAUGAAACGUUGGCAGGAAAAUGUAAACAUUGUAGGAGCAGUGUGGGAGCCUGAGUGAGAUCCCGUUUUCUCGUGUGGUGUCAUCAACAGAAUUUUUGAAACCUCUAGGAUAAGUUCAAUGCUAAACUCCCCUCAGAGGACUGGACAAAUAAGCUAACCAACGCUCGGGGCAAAAACUAUUAGUGGUGAAUAUUUGUCGUGUGUCGGACAGCUGUUGAUAUAUUGACAAAUAAUGCAUUAGGACCUUUUUCCAGCGAGGCGCUUAGGGUAAGCGUGGCUUAAGAGGAACGCUGGAAUGUGACUAACCGUUGAGUGACCUGCCCUGAAGAUGGCGUGGGCGACACAAGAGAGUGGAGGCCUAGUGGUGACCUCCAGCCUCCCACUCAUCUCUCCCACCACCUCCGUCACCAUACCCGACCUCGAUACCGUGUUGGAGAACUCCAGUUACACGGAUAACUGGCAAAACUGCACAGAGCCUCUGGGACACGUUGACUUUACGGACAUAGGAAUGUUAUCGUCGCUGACCAUCCUGGUGCUCGUCAACGCUCUGGUUGUGGCCGGGAACUGCCUGGUGAUUCUAGCGGUGUUCCUGUCCAGCAAGCUCCGCACAGUUACUAAUCUCUUCAUCGUCUCCCUGGCCGUGGCUGACCUCCUGCUGGGGAUGGCUGUGCUGCCCUUCAGCGUGACGGUGGAGGUCUUCGACACCUGGCUCUUCGGCGAGCUCUGGUGCUCCGUCUGGCUGGCUGUGGACGUGUGGAUGUCCACGGCCUCCAUCCUCAAUCUCUGUGCCAUCAGCCUCGACCGGUACGUGGCGGUGACGCGGCCCGUGUCCUACCCAUCGCUGAUGACGUCGUCCAGGGCUAAGCUGCUCAUCGCCUCGGUCUGGAUCACUUCCUUCGCCAUUUGCUUCCCUCCGCUCGUCGGGUGGAACGACCGACACAAGAACCUUGUGUCGGCGUCUUCGGCGGCGUCCGACACAGGCCUGGACGACGCUGUGUCAUGCCACCUCUCCUGUGAGCUGACCAAUGACACCGGAUACGUGGUUUACUCAGCCCUCGGUUCUUUCUUCAUCCCAAUGCUUGUGAUGCUCUUCUUCUACUGGAAGAUCUACUGCGCCGCCGCGGAGACCACGCGGGCUAUCAACCAGGGCUUCAGAACCACUAAGAGCAAGAGAAUCCUCGGUAGCCGCUUCCAGGAGGAGCGGCUGACCUUGCGCAUCCAUCGCGGCCGUAAUUCAGUCCAGGAACACCGUAGCAGCUCAGAGGAUCGGCGGCACAACGGCCAGAGCAACAACCACCACAGAAAAAACAGCCAGAAAGGUAAAGUAAGCAGCAUCAAGAUGAAGAACCUCAGACCUCAACUGAUCAUGAAGUCCAGCAUCUCUCUCCCGCCGGAUAUGAAGUACGACGGCAACAACUUCGCUUUGUCAGAGCGGUGUGACUUGUGCAACGCCCAGUGUUCCAGGGACCACACCAACGUUGACCUCCUCUCCGUCAGCCGGAACGACACCAGCAAGACGGACUCUUGCUUCACCGUCGACACUAACUUCUCCGAGAUAGACUCGACGUCUCAAAGACACCACCCGGGCAACCUGACCCCCACUUCCGACUGUGGGCCUUCCACGCCCUCAAGCCUCAAGACUAGGAGGUUCCACAGUCCAGAAGGAGAGACCCGGAGGUAUCCGAGUCAGGAUGGCGAGACUCAUCAUCCAGGACCUGUGAGAGGCCGGAGCACCGCCACCUCCAGGAUGGGGCGACGGAACAUUAAAGUACAAGUGAAAAGGUUCCGCAUGGAAACCAAAGCGGCCAAGACUCUGGGGAUCAUCGUCGGGGUCUUCAUCCUCUGUUGGUUACCCUUCUUCACCAUGUACUUGGUGAGGGGGUUCUGUCCCACCUGCAUCCCUCCUCUCCUCUUCUCCGUCUUCUUCUGGCUGGGCUACUGCAACUCUGCCAUCAAUCCCUGCAUAUACGCACUCUUUAGCAAAGAUUUCCGAUUCGCGUUCCAGAAUAUCUUGUGCAAGUGUGUUUGCACGAGGGAGGUGAGGAAAGCCCUGCCCGCCCACCACCAUGCUAUAUACAUUCCCUCAUACGACAGAGACAAUGAAAGUGACGAGGAGGAACAUAAGAGGUAGCUCAAGUAGCUGCUCACUUUCUUCAUAUUCAGAAAACAUUUUACCUGGAGUAUUCCAGUUCUGGACUUUAAAAAAAAAAGUGACUUUGACUCCUGAGAAACAGAUACUAAAGCCACUACCGCGGGAACAGUGUGACCCCUGGUGGUCGACCCUUACAGUAUAGUGAUAUUUGGAUUUGCUGUCUGACGACCCAAUUGGGAGGCUGCCUCCCUGACGAGGUGACACGUCGACCUCACCUCACCUCACCUCUUGCGGGCACUGCCAACUCCUCUUCCUCACUGCUGUCAAACCACAUGGUUACAUAAACUCUAUAUUGGCAACCAACCAAACAUUUCAAAUGACAGUUUGGCCAGUCAUUCAUUCAUGUUUGUAUAUUUUUACUCAUUGUUUAACCUUCAAAUAUCCUUUGCCAGAUAAUAUCUAUAUAUCACAUUCAUUCAUAUUUGUAAAUAAAUAAAUAAUACACGUGGUUAUCUGCCAAUCAUCUUUUAUAAUAUCUAUCAAUCUAUCAACGUAUCCAUUCUCCGGGCAUCCUUCAUGGCAUGGGGCCAAGUGCCCACUGUUACAUGGGCAGCUCACCACACAGACUAAGACGUCGCCAUGAUAAAGUAGAUGACUCUGAGAUGUGACAUUGAUCUGUUUGUUUGACGUAUUCGACAUUUGACAUACACACGACAUAUGAUGUGUGUAUGACGCGUGUAUGUAGUGUGAAAGGUGACGCAGGUAGAAGUGUGUGUGUACUCACCUAUUUGUGCUUGCGGGGGUUGAGCUUUGGCUCUUUGGUCCCGCCUGGGUAAGGUUAGAGUCAGGUCCGUCCCUGCCCUGACCGGCAGGGACGGUCAGGGCAGGGUAAACACACCUAUAUUCAGUUUUAUGUAGGUGUGUUUGACCCUAUAUGGUUUAUGUGGCGUGGGGAGUGUGACGUAGGGAGUGUGACGUGGGGGUGCUGAGUGUGGCGUGGGUAUAUAACACAGACGUAACACCUUUCAGGCGCCCUGAGCCUCUAGCAGGAAUUAAUAGAGCAGCCAGGCAGAGGAAGAGGUCGACGUGUUGACGCUAAAGUGAGCGAGAGGUCGACGUGUUGACGCUAAAGUGAGCGAGAGGUCGACGUGUUGACGCUAAAGUGAGCGAGAGGUCGACGUGUUGACGCUACGUCGACACUGCCAGAGGAACGUGAUAAAACAAAACACUAGAGAACACCAAAAUGCGACGUUACAAGCACAACAAAACAACACACAAAGUUGAACACGAGUGAGAAUGUGACGUACAGAAUGCAAUGCAAAAUAAAACACAAAAAAAACAUGAAAUCAAUAUUGCAAAGAAAAUGAACUUAAACGAAAGACAAAAAUAAAAAACAUUCUUGCUCUCGAAUCUUCUGGGCUUCAAGAGUAUUACCAAAUGUUUCCUAGUCAAAUGCAUAUUAUGUUUACAAACUUCUAUGCCAAAAGGGUAAUGAAUUUGUAAGCUGUGUACCUUAAGAGUGCGCGAGUUAUUGGAAAAAAACAGUAAAAAAAAGACGUUGAUUACAAGAAACAGAGAAGUGAGAGUUGAGAAAGCCGGAAAUAGUUUGAAAAGUCAAGAGAUCUUAAUGAGAAACAAUGAGUAAAUUAUGAGAAAAAUAUAAUCAGUAAGUGUUCAUCACAGAGCAUACACACGUGUGAUAUGUAAACAUUAACACCUGUCUGGCCUUAUUACAGACAGGUGUGUGACGCAGUGUGCAAUGCAAUAACUCCUUACAGGGCGAUACAGGUGUGAGAUUGGUUUUUUAUAAAGUAAUGAAUUAAAACAUGGCUACACACCAGGGCAAACUGGUCUGAAGCGCAAGUGACACUCCUAGUCAUGUGUUCAUGACUCACACUCCAGAAUUGACGAAACAAAUAUAAAACAAACAAAAUAUAUAUAUAUAGAUGUAUAUAGAAAAAAAAAUCAAAUUAAUAUUAAAUGGGUAAAAUAUUCACAAAAAGCAAUUCACAAAUGUAGCCGAAAAUACCUGGUAUGGUAUAUGUGUGUGUGUGUUAAACUGUGAAAAAACUAUUAUAUAU